GAUGAACGCUGGCUACAGGCUUAACACAUGCAAGUCGAGGGGAAACGACGGGGAAGCUUGCUUCCCCGGGCGUCGACCGGCGCACGGGUGAGUAACGCGUAUCCAACCUGCCUCUGACUGAGGGAUAACCCGUCGAAAGUCGGCCUAAUACCUCAUGGCAUCGUCUGCGGGCAUCCAACGACGAUUAAAGAUUUCAUCGGUCAGGGAUGGGGAUGCGUCUGAUUAGCUAGUUGGCGGGGUAACGGCCCACCAAGGCGACGAUCAGUAGGGGUUUUCGGAGGAAGGUCCCCCACGUGGGAACAUGGACACGGUCAAAACUCCUACGGGAGGCAGCAGUGAGGAAUAGUGAUCAAUGGGCGAGAGCCUGAACCAGCCAAGUAGCGUGCAGGAUGACGGCCCUAUGGGUUGUAAACUGCUUUUAGGCGGGGAUAAAGUGAGGGACGUGUCCUUCAUUGCAGGUACCGCAUGAAUAAGGACCGGCUAAUUCCGUG
rnacentral:rRNA from 1 species